rnacentral:lncRNA from 1 species
CAGCAGCAUCUCCCACCUGUCUUUGACAUUUAGAUUUCAAUUUUCGGCUUCAGCUUCACAGUUCCUUGCUGCCUUUAGGACAAAGCCUAUUUCAUUCAAUUCAACUGACCAACAUUAUCAAGGUCCACCUAUGUACAAGAAUGCUUUCGACUUGAAAGCAUCUAUCUUUCAUGGAAUUUCUCUGGUUCUGGCAAAAUAAGAGAGGAAAGAAAAAGAGAAGAGCCUGGAGAUAUUUGAGGAGUGACAGAGAGAAUUCUAGCCAGUAUUGCUUUUUGGAGACAUAAAGGAAAGAUCACCCAGCUUUGGAUUCCUGUACCCUGAAUGUCCUUCUCCACUAACCAGACUUCUGGCAUUGCUGGCAUGCCCUACUCUGACUCUCUGCAAAGGUAGGUCAGAUCUCAGGUUGCAUCAAAC